rnacentral:rRNA from 1 species
UACGUAGGGUGCGAGCGUUGUCCGGAAUUAUUGGGCGUAAAGAGCUCGUAGGCGGUGUGUCGCGUCGGCCGUGAAAACCUGGGGCUCAGCUCUGGGCGUGCGGUCGAUACGGGCAUCACUUGAGUUCGGCAGGGGAGACUGGAAUUCCUGGUGUAGCGGUGAAAUGCGCAGAUAUCAGGAGGAACACCGGUGGCGAAGGCGGGUCUCUGGGCCGAUACUGACGCUGAGGAGCGAAAGCGUGGGGAGCGAACAGG